rnacentral:rRNA from 1 species
GACGUAGGGGGCGAGCGUUGUCCGGAUUUAUUGGGCGUAAAGAGCUCGUAGGCGGUGUGUCGCGUCGGCCGUGAAAACCUGCAGCUUAACUGUGGGCUUGCGGUCGAUACGGGCAUCACUGGAGUUCGGCAGGGGAGACUGGAAUUCCCGGUGUAGCGGUGAAAUGCGCAGAUAUCGGGAGGAACACCAGUGGCGAAGGCGGCACUCUGGGCCAGUACUGACACUGAGGAGCGAAAGCGUGGGGAGCGAACAGG